CUGAGAGCAAAAGUGAAACCAACAGGCGACUUUCACUCCCCAGGCUGAGGGAAAUGCAGAAAAGUAAAUCCUAAACAGGGCAUGUGGCCCAGCCCCUGUUUUGGACAGAAAGAUGGCUGUCCAAGGAACAUGAACAUCAGUUCUCAGAUGCUUUUGCGGUAUCCUGUCUCUCUAUUGCCUGGACCUCUGGAAGACAGAAGAGCGAGAAUCAGCAGUGAUCGUUUUCCUGCAAACGCAAUUUGAGGAACUACUUUGACAACCGAUAGAAAAACAACUACCUUGCAGCAUGACCACAGCAAGUGCAUGUUCUUUCUGACAAUGUAUAAUUGCACUGUGUCCCUGGUGAGGAAUGAUGCCAGAAUGGCCAUCUGAUUAUCUGUAUUCAUUUCUCAUACUGUAACCAAGUUGUUUAUUUUCCACAAAUGUUCAUGCAAAAAUGCAGAGAUUCUCCAUGUAGAAUAAAGUAGGCCUACAAAGUAAGGAAGGACUGGUA
rnacentral:lncRNA from 1 species